UACGAAGGGAGCUAGCGUUGUUCGGAAUCACUGGGCGUAAAGCGCACGUAGGCGGAUUUGCCAGUCAGGGGUGAAAUCCCGGGGCUCAACCUCGGAACUGCCUUUGAUACUGCAAAUCUCGAGUCCGGAAGGGGUGAGUGGAAUUCCUAGUGUAGAGGUGAAAUUCGUAGAUAUUAGGAAGAACACCAGUGGCGAAGGCGGCUCACUGGUCCGGUACUGACGCUGAGGUGCGAAAGCGUGGGGAGCAAACAGG
rnacentral:rRNA from 1 species